GCAACAGGUGCCAUCGCAACUUGGACGGGCCGAUUCCCCUGUGUGAGACUGGUCACUACAGUCUGAUACAUGCUGACUGGGAUCUGGACCAGACCUGAAGCAACAAAAGUUCCUAUUGGACUGUACUGCUGUCAAUUACACAAAUUUGGGCUCCACAAUUACCUCCAAUACUUGUUAUUCAGAGAGGACGCCGACGUUCUGAGUAGCCCCUCUACAUCCUCGUCUUGAGUUUGUCUCCUGGUGGAUCAGACCAUCUGUCCUGAUUUACAGCGAGCAUCUAAGGCCACAUUUGCCCUCCCGUCUCCGUGUUGACAUCUUGAGGACUUGAAUGCAGUACAAAAAUGGCACAGCCUGCAGAAGACUGAGCCAGAGGGUUAUUCAUAUUCGUCACUUCUGCUGUCGGGGAAAAUGUGGGCAGCUCUGCUCAUGUGCGUUGGAGAGGUGAGUUGUGUUUGUGUUUAUCUCUGUGAGAGUGUGCCUCGCUUCUGUUUUGUGUGUCACACAACUGUCAGCCCACUGGGAUGGGCCAAAACUAAAGCUGAUGGGCUCCUGUCCACUGUAGAGAGGCUAACACGCUGGGCAUGAGUGGCGGGUGACGGAGCCAGAGACAAAAGCCCACAGGUGUGUGACAAUGAUAGAGCGCUGCCCUUUGUCUGCAGUCCCAGCAGAGCUGCCUACACACAAACACACACAGACACAGAUAUUUCUGACAAUGAUUGAUGAGUGAUUUUUGUCACUGAACAGACCACGGACAUUUGUGUACUUAACACAAUAUGUCUGAGAAGUUAUUCCUAUUGUUUAAGGCCUUAUCCUGUAUGUGUUUAAAGUAUUUAAACAUAAAACCUUCUUUUGCUGAUGCUUUCAUUUAAAAUGAACAUGCAAUCUCUUACCUAAUUUUCAGUUGAUGCACCCAGUCAUGACCUAGACCAGUUAUCAGUGAACAAUUCAUUUUAUUACUUACUUGAUCUUUUCAGUCUAAUUUUGCCUCAACUGAUUGCACCUUAGUCUAUUAAAACAGGUUUCUCUUAGUUACCAAACUUCAAAUUCUAUCUUAUGUGGCAUGUUUAGUAAGUGUACCAACCCUUUUGGAAACAAUUGAUGUUGACUAAUGUCUUUUUUGUUGUUAUUAUUUGGUAUUAUCUUUUAACAAAAAUAGAUAUUUGCAACACAGUAUGUGUAUAAACAAUAAAUUAAUCUGUUAUCUUCCUGUAUCUGUAAGCAUUUAGCCAAUAGUUAGUGUCGUCUAAUGUGUUACUUAAACCCCACCCAGAAAUAAAAAAAACAAACAACUAGGAAAAUGGUUAGAUUUGAUUGAGUGAGAUACACAGAAGUAACUGACAGACAAAAACUGUUUUUAAAAAAAAUGCAAUGAUCUAGAAAAACAAACGCAGUCUAAGAAGUAUUUCCUCUUCCUGCAUCUACACACAU